rnacentral:pre_miRNA from 1 species
CUUAUACUCCCUCCGUUCGGAAUUACUCGUCCAAGAAAUGAAUGUAUCUAGAUGUAUUUUAGUUGUAGAUACAUCCAUUUUUGUGACAAGUAAUUCCAAAUGGAGGGAGUAUUUG